rnacentral:rRNA from 1 species
AGCAGUAGCCGCGGGAACACGUAGGGGGCUAGCGUUAUCCGGAUUUACUGGGCGUAAAGGGUGCGUAGGUGGUCCUUCAAGUCGGUGGUUAAAGGCUACGGCUCAACCCAUGAAUUGCUUUGGAAACUGUUAGGCUUGAGUGUCGGAGGGGUAAGCGGAAUUCCUAGUGUAGCGGUGAAAUGCGUAGAUAUUAGGAGGAACACCGGAGGCGAAGGCGGCUUACUGGACAACAACUGACGUUGAGGCUCGAAGGCGUGGGAGCAAACAGGAUUAGAUACCCCAGUAGUCCCUGUCUCUUAUACA